AUGUUGUUAUCAGCUAGAUUGGCAAGAGCACUGGAAAUGACAGAUCAAGACAUCAACUCAAAGGAGGAAGCCAGCACGCAUGUACCACCAACUUUGUCAGGUUUCCAACAUAACGCUGCCAACAGUAAUCCAUCUGAGCAUUGCAUCGAAACCGAGAUAGUGUAUCAAGCAAACGAAGCGGCAUCAAUUGAGUGUGUGGGACUAGACACCACUCCUCCCCACACGAAAACAAUAACCAAGAUGAUUUUCGUUUCAAUGAAGUCAGGGAGCAGGGGAAACAUGCAGUGCUUGAUAUUGAUAUCAACAUAG
rnacentral:rRNA from 1 species